CUAUAUGCUGCUUUUAACUGAGAAAAUGAAGCAUAAACAGGAAAGGCUUACCUUUCUGACGUGAAAUCAUUCAAAACCAGCUGGUGUAUUCAAGUGAAAGUAAUCCCCGCCUUCACAGACAGAAAUAGAGGAACAAAAUAAUUUUUCUUUGAUCCAAACUAUUUUAAGGCAUAACUCAUCGGGUCGUCGGUCGAAUAUUCAAAGAAAACAGUAAAAAACUUUAGAUUUUGAUAUUUUAUUGUUUAACUAGAUUAGAUGAGCCAGUUAUAUAACGAAUAAGAGAAAUAUUUGGAAGUCUAUUGACCUGAAGAGAUUGAUGUUUCGGGAUCCUCUAAAUCCAAUUCUUCUUUUUGUCUUGAGACUUGAGAGAUAAUU